rnacentral:rRNA from 1 species
GGCUACAGCCAUGCCACCCUGAACAAGCCCAAUCCCGUUUGAUUUCGGAAGAUAAGCAGGGUCAGUCCUGGUUAGUACUUGGAUGGGAGACCACCUAGGAAGACCAGGUGCUAUAGGCA